GACGAACGCUGGCGGCGUGCUUAACACAUGCAAGUCGAACGGAAAGGCCCUGCUUUUGUGGGGUGCUCGAGUGGCGAACGGGUGAGUAACACGCGAGUAACCUGUCCUUGACUUUGGGAUAACUUCAGGAAACUGGGGCGAAUACCGGAUAGGAGCUCCUGCUGCAUGGUGGGGGUUGGAAAGUUUCGGCGGUUGGGGAUGGACUCGCGGCUUAUCAGCUUGUUGGUGGGGUAGUGGCUUACCAAGGCUUUGACGGGUAGCCGGCCUGAGAGGGUGACCGGCCACAUUGGGACUGAGAUACGGACCAGACUCCUACGGGAGGCAGAAGUGGGGAAUAUUGCACAAUGGGCGGAAGCCUGAUGCAGCAACGCCGCGUGCGGGAUGACGGCCUUCGGGUUGUAAACCGCUUUCGCCUGUAACGAAGCGUGAGUGACGGUAAUGGGUAAAGAAGCACCGGCUAACUACGUG
rnacentral:rRNA from 1 species